rnacentral:rRNA from 1 species
CAGCAGCCGCGGUAAUACGUAGGGUGCAAGCGUUAAUCGGAAUUACUGGGCGUAAAGCGUGCGCAGGCGGUUUGUUAAGACAGAUGUGAAAUCCCCGGGCUCAACCUGGGAACUGCAUUUGUGACUGGCAAGCUAGAGUGUGGCAGAGGGGGGUGGAAUUCCGCGUGUAGCAGUGAAAUGCGUAGAUAUGCGGAGGAACACCGAUGGCGAAGGCAGCCCCCUGGGCCAACACUGACGCUCAUGCACGAAAGCGUGGGGAGCAAACAGGAUUAGAUACCCCUGUAGUCCCUGUCUCUUAUAC